GGGAGACAGCAGUUGAGACAGGGAAGGGGAGUCCCGACACCCAAAGGAAAGAGCGCCCGUGAUUCCAUUUGUGGAGCCCCAGAGAUUAAAAAGCCGACCGGGAGCUUCAGUGGAGAGGAGGAACCGUUUAAGCACGACAGAAAGGUAGAGGAAUAAAAGAAAGCAGCUCGUAAAAAGAAAAAAAUAAAAUAAAAUACCGGAAGAAAUGAGAAUCAAGAUUAGGGACAAAAUCAAGCCCCCUUGGCAGGCUUCACAUCUCACCUCGCACCCCCAGCCUGCUUCCACAUCUGUCCUACUCUUCCUCCGUGCCCCAACGCUCUUGGGUGACACGCUCUCCAGCGCACUCAUGACUUGCUUUAGCGUCCUGAUUCUUCAUAUAACCCUACAGCCUGCUGAAAACCAGGGGAGAGCACGGAAGUGCCGGCAA